AGCAGCCGCGGUAAUUCCAGCUCCAAUAGCGUAUAUUAAAGUUGUUGCAGUUAAAAAGCUCGUAGUUGAAUUUCGGGAUUGACACAUCGGUCGUGCCUUAAGGGGUGUGAACUGGUGUAGUCAAUUUCUCACCUUCUGGAGAACCGCGAUGUCCUUAAUUGGGUGCCGCGAGGAACCAGGACCUUUACUUUAGAAAAAAUUAGAGUUAGUUUAAAGCAGGCUAUUUUUGCUUGAAUACAUUAGCAUGGAAUAAUAAAAUAGGACGGCAUGAUUCUAUUUUGUUGGUUUCUAGGAUCACCGUAAUGAUUAAUAGGAUAGUUGGGGGCAUUAGUAUUCAAUUGUCAGAGGUGAAAUUCUUGGAUUUAUUGAAGACUAACUACUGCGAAAGCAUUUGCCAAGGAUGUUUUCAUUAAUCAAGAACGAAAGUUAGGGAUCGAAGACGAUCAGAUACCGUCGUAGUCUUAACCAUAAAACUAUGCCGACUAGGAAUCAGACGAUGUUUAAUUUUUAAUAGUACUUCGUUUGGCACCGUUACGGGAAACCUU
rnacentral:rRNA from 1 species